AAAGAAAUCCUGCACAGAAUUAUAAAGAUAUGGGAUUCAGUCUAAAUGAACCUGUGCACCUGAGACUUCUGGCCCGAUCAUUUGUAGAUGGCCUUAGGCCAGACCUGAACAAAGCUCUUGUUACCUGUCGCCCAGAAUGGAAAUCAUUAACCUUAGAAAUCUUAGAACAAAUUGCAAAA